UACGUAGGGCGCAAGCGUUGUCCGGAAUCAUUGGGCGUAAAGAGCUCGUAGGCGGCCUGUUGCGUCCGCUGUGAAAUCCCGGGGCUCAACCCCGGGCCUGCAGUGGAUACGGGCUGGCUAGAGGCAGGCAGGGGAGAACGGAAUUCCUGGUGUAGCGGUGAAAUGCGCAGAUAUCAGGAGGAACACCGGUGGCGAAGGCGGUUCUCUGGGCCUGUACUGACGCUGAGGAGCGAAAAGCGUGGGGGAGCGAACAGG
rnacentral:rRNA from 1 species